UACGUAGGGUCCGAGCGUUGUCCGGAAUUAUUGGGCGUAAAGGGCGCGUAGGCGGCCACCGCAAGUCGGUUGUGAAAUCUCUGGGCUUAACCCAGAAAGGUCAACCGAUACUGCGGGGCUAGAGUGCAGAAGGGGCAACUGGAAUUCUCGGUGUAGCGGUGAAAUGCGUAGAUAUCGAGAGGAACACCUGCGGCGAAGGCGGGUUGCUGGGCUGACACUGACGCUGAAGCGCGAAAGCUAGGGGAGCGAACGGG
rnacentral:rRNA from 1 species